rnacentral:rRNA from 1 species
AUUGAACGCUGGCGGCAUGCCUUACACAUGCAAGUCGAACGGCAGCACGGGAGCAAUCCUGGUGGCGAGUGGCGAACGGGUGAGUAAAGUAUCGGAACGUGCCCAGUCGUGGGGGAUAACGUAGCGAAAGUUACGCUAAUACCGCAUACGAUCUAUGGAUGAAAGCGGGGGAUCGCAAGACCUCGCGCGAUUGGAGCGGCCGAUAUCAGAUUAGGUAGUUGGGGGGGUAAAGGCUCACCAAGCCGACGAUCUGUAGCUGGUCUGAGAGGACGACCAGCCACACUGGGACUGAGACACGGCCCAGACUCCUACGGGAGGCAGCAGUGGGGAAUUUUGGACAAUGGGCGAAAGCCUGAUCCAGCCAUGCCGCGUGCGGGAUGAAGGCCUUCGGGUUGUAAACUGCUUUUGUACGGAACGAAAAGGUUUGGCCUAAUAACACUGGGGGAUGACAGUACCUGAAGAAUAAGCACCGGCUAACUACGUGCCAGCAGCCGCGGUAA